rnacentral:rRNA from 1 species
UACGUAGGGUGCGAGCGUUAAUCGGAAUUAUUGGGCGUAAGGGGCGCGUAGGCGGUUGAAUAAGUCAGAUGUGAAAGCCCUUGGCUUAACCAAGGAAGUGCAUUUGAUACUAUUUGACUUGAGUAUGGGAGAGGGAAGUGGAAUUCCUGGUGUAGAGGUGAAAUUCGUAGAUAUCAGGAGGAACACCGGUGGCGAAAGCGACUUCCUGGACCAAUACUGACGCUGAGGCGCGAAGGCGUGGGGAGCAAACAGG